rnacentral:rRNA from 1 species
AUCGAACGCUGGCGGCGUGCCUAACACAUGCAAGUCGAACGAGAUCCAUGGGAGCUUGCUCCCGGAAGAUCUAGUGGCGAACGGGUGAGUAACACGUGAGAAACCUGCCCUGGAGCGGGGAAUAACUCGGGGAAACUCGAGCUAAUACCGCAUACCCUCGGAUGGUCGCAUGGCCGACCGAGGAAAGAUUUAUCGCUCUAGGAGGGUCUCGCGGCCUAUCAGCUAGUUGGUGGGGUAACGGCCUACCAAGGCAACGACGGGUAGCUGGUUUGAGAGAACGAUCAGCCACACUGGGACUGAGACACGGCCCAGACUCCUACGGGAGGCAGCAGUGGGGAAUCUUGCGCAAUGGGCGAAAGCCUGACGCAGCAACGCCGCGUGCGGGAUGACGGCCUUCGUGGUUGUAACCGACUUUCAGCAGGGACGGAAAAUAGACGGUACCUGCAGAAGAAGACCCCGGCUAACUACGUGCCAGCAGCCGCGGUAAGU